rnacentral:sRNA from 1 species
AUGUACCACUCGUACACUCCGGUUCCUGUGCGCCGCCCGCACCCGCCUGACGACUGCUCGCGAAGUCCUUGAUCG